GAUAUUGAAUAUUAUAACUCUAACUAAACACUUAUGUUAUCACGUCCCAAAAUUAAGGAAUUUAUGCAAAUUUUACCAUAGCUUUUCCUUUGAGGCUACAUUGAGUCCUAUAAUGCAAAUAGAGUGAAUAUAUGUAUAGUACUAAAAACUUAUGUAGGCACACAUGUUUAAAAUAAGAGAUAUAAUAGAAAUAAAAAUUAAAGGUCAAUAACACAACUAUUAUCUAUGUCUU
rnacentral:lncRNA from 1 species